AUUGAACGCUGGCGGCAGGCUUAACACAUGCAAGUCGAGCGAGCGGCGGACGGGUGAGUAAUGUAUGGGGACUGCCCGAUAGAGGGGGAUAACUACUGGAAACGGUAGCUAAUACCGCAUACUAUCGGAUAACCCAUAUGGGAUUAGCUAGUAGGUGAGGUAAUGGCUCACCUAGGCGACGAUCCCUAGCUGGUCUGAGAGGAUGAUCAGCGACACUGGGACAGAGACAACGACAAGACUCCUACGGAGGCAGCAGGGGGGAAUAUUGGACAGUGGGCGGAAGCAUGAUGCAGCCAUGCCGAGUGUAUGGAGAAGGCCCUAGGGUUGUAAAGUACUUUCAGUCGGGAUGCGUUACCGACAGAAGAAGCACCGGCUAACUCCGUGCCAGCAGCCGCGGUAAUAC
rnacentral:rRNA from 1 species